rnacentral:rRNA from 1 species
ACGUAGGACGCGAACGUUAUCCGGAGUUACUGGGCGUAAAGCGCGUGCAGGCGGUUUUGUAAGUUACCUAUGAAAGCUCUCGGCUAAACUGAGAGAGGAUAGGUGAAACUGCAAGACUAGAGUGAGGUAGAGGUGAGUAGAAUUCCAGGUGUAGUGGUGAAAUGCGUAGAUAUCUGGAGGAAUACCAGUGGCGAAGGCGGCUCACUGGCCCUCAACUGACGCUGAGACGCGAAAGCGUGGGUAGCGAACGGG